UGGUAAUGUAUUAUAGUAAUAUCAGCUAUUAAUUUUCAAUUUUAUAAAAUCGCAUUUCUGAGAUCCAUUCACAUUGGAACGUCGUAGCUAUAGAUUUAAAUAUAGAUGACAUAGUAUUUAAUAUUUUGUGCUUUUGCUUUACACUGCACUUUCAUUUCCCAUUUUCCACGUCAAGCUAAAAUAGCAUUUUACUCUUAUUCUUUUCUAUUAAAGUCUUCUUUGCACAUAUAUACUUGUGAAUAUGUUCCAGAAUUUUCUAGAAUAUAAAAGGAGAAACAAAACUACUAGGCUUUAAAGAAUUUUUUUUAAAUUUUCUAUUUAUUUACUUUUUUGAGGUAGAGUUUCACUCUUGUCUCCCAGGCUGGAGUGUGGUGGUGCAAUCACAGCUCAGGACAAUCUCCGCCUCUGGGUUCAGAUAUGCCUCUGGGGACCCAAAUCUUGGGAUACAGCUGAGUGAAAAGCCGUUUGGAGUUUAUACCUACCUAUGUUCUGAUGGUAUGGAAUUAUUUCAAAACCCAAUGAGGAGGUAUGCAUAUGGUAGAAUCAAUCCACAGGCAAUGCACAAAAAAUUAAACUGUGGCUUCAGAACAUAAAAAAGAUGUAGUCCAUCUGAAAAGCUUACAAAGAAAGGUACAACCAACAAAGGUUUGGAGGUAGGAAGUGUGAGGUGUAAGGAGCAAACGCCUUGGGAAGAAUGGGAAUGCUGUCUUCCUCAUCAUUCAACCUGC
rnacentral:lncRNA from 1 species